rnacentral:ribozyme from 1 species
UCAAUCAUGUGAAACUGUUAUGGGAUGGGAUCCGAAGCCUCCAGAAGAUUCCAUCUAACUCCUGUUCCGACACGUCCACGUCGUGCAGGGUGGGGCAACAUGGACCUAACCAGGGGGUC